AAAUUGAAGAGUUUGAUCAUGGCUCAGAUUGAACGCUGGCGGCAGGCCUAACACAUGCAAGUCGAGCGGC
rnacentral:rRNA from 2 species